GACGAACGCUGGCGGCGUGCUUAACACAUGCAAGUCGAACGGUGAUGAUGGGGCUUGCCCUGUCUGAUCAGUGGCGAACGGGUGAGUAACACGUGAGUAACCUGCCCCAGACUCUGGGAUAACCCCGGGAAACCGGAGCUAAUACCGGAUAUGACUUCUGCGCGCAUGCGUGGGGGUGGAAAGUUUUUCGGUUUGGGAUGGGCUCGCGGCCUAUCAGCUUGUUGGUGAGGUAGUGGGUCACCAAGGCGACGACGGGGAGCCGGCCUGAGAGGGCGACCGGCCACACUGGGACUGGGACACGGCCCAGACUCCUACGGGAGGCAGCAGUGGGGAAUAUUGCACAAUGGGCGAAAGCCUGAUGCAGCGACGCCGCGUGAGGGAUGACGGCCUUCGGGUUGUAAACCUCUUUCAGCAGGGAAGAAGCGUGAGUGACGGUACCUGCAGAAGAAGCACCGGCUAACUACGUGCCAGCCGCCGCCGUUAAGAC
rnacentral:rRNA from 1 species